GGUAGGGAGGCAGGUAUAUAGAGAAAAUACAGAAAUUGGAGUGAAUUUAAGGUAUUCCCUAGUACAUGCCCCUCAUACAUAUAAACAUUUGACUGUGUUUCAUUGAGAGAAUGUGUGUGGCCAAAUAUAAUGCUCUUCAAAUGGUGACAUAACAGCAAGCCUAUCUUAGUCUAAGGCUUGGAGAAAGAGACAGGAAGAGAGGAAAAGCAAACAGAGAAGACUGGGGAGAAAUUAAAAGACUGCAACAUAGAUACAGAUGACAGAGA
rnacentral:lncRNA from 1 species